GGUCGUGAAAGACCAGCUGGAACUAUGUCGAGUGACUCGCCUGGACUUCCACAACUUCCAGCAGUUGACUUACCUGGCAAUCACCCACUCAGGCCUCCGGGAGGUGGAGGACGGCGCCUUCGGUAACUUACCUAAAACUACGCACUCUGGACCUGCGCAAGAACCAGCUCCAUGCGCUCUCUUGGCGCAGUCUGUGGCCUGCGUCACGGCCUGGAGACAAUCUCCGUCACAUCACCACCACGGACAACCCUCUGGAUCCAAGUGACUGUAAAAACAUGUGGCUACAAACCUGGAAGGAGCAGAGCACGGGGCUCGGGAGGCCGCAGCGGACAUGGAGUCAACCAGGCGCCAGGUCUCAACACCAUCUAGGACCUGGAGGAGGAGGAGGAGGAGGAGGACCUGGAAGCGUGACCGGUAGUGGGGUCACAGAGGCAGGAGGGCCUGGUGGUGACCUCCUCUCCGACUCGACAACAGACGACUGCCCGGGUACAGGGCCCGCGACCUCAUCCA